AUAGAAGAUAUUGACUGUGAGAAUAGUGAUGACGAUUCUGAUGAAGAAUUUAACACAGUUAUAGCCACAAUAAUAUCUGAUGAAGCUGAAUCUGUUGAAUUUGAUAUUCCAGGAGGAUUUGAUAUUGACAGUGUUAUGCAAACUAUGAUUGACAAAAAGAAGUAACUGAAGUAGAUGUUUGUAUAAAAAGAAUUAUUAAUUAAAUUGACCAUCAUAGACUUAUUACAUUUGGCAAAAAACUGUUUCUGAAAUUGGCUAGUUACAUCACAAAGUUAACAGGCAACAAGUCUAUGUCCACUGGAAUUCCGGAAAAGAAUAUUGUCAGUUUCUAUUGUUUGGAACAUGAGUUAAAUACAAGUGCAGAGUAUAGAAUGAGUUGUUUAAUGUUAUUUUAUGGAGAGGAUUUUACAGAUAAUCACAUGAUAGUUUGCUUCAACUUAAUAGAAGCUGUAAAGUUGUUUUAUUAAAACAAAAGGUUGAUUUGUUGAAAAUUAGCAGCAGUUUCAUUACAAAAAGACAUGUGACAGACGCAUCCAGACCUCGUGUACGGUAUGUUGCAGGCUAUUGUUUGGCAUCUCUCAGAAGAAAAUAUGUAAAAAUUUAAAAAAGUGAUUUAUGUUCUACCAGUAAGCUAGGUCAGGACAUGUAUAUUGAAGCCAAAUGUGUAAAUUACAUUCUUAACAUCCUCAGGGAAGAUGAAUAUUACUUGAAAGCUCACACUGAAUAGUCAGAUUCAUUACUAUAUAUUGAAAGGAAACAGUAUGCAUCAAGGGGCUUAACAAAUGUUACUGACAGACUAUUUAAAUUCUUUGUUUGUCUCACUGAAAAGAGUCUGGCACUCCUGGUUCAUGAAAAUCUUAUGAAAUAUUGAAGGGAAAUAUAUAAUUAGUGUUUAGACUUUAUUAUAAAUGAACAAUCUUUGUAUGAACAGUUUGCUAAUAUUGUUGUCACCAGUUGUUCUGAACAGCCCAUUGGAGAGUUUGAUGGAAAUUCAGAUGUUAGUAGUGUGAUGGAAAAAAUGGUGUGGAUUUCUUCUAAAAUUCGCAGUAUCUAUCAUGAACUUGUUGAAAAAUACCUUAUGGUGCUUCUGUCUCAGUUUCGGAAAGACAUUAAGUCUGCAUAUAGGGUGGAAAACUAUUACUUACCGAUGACGAUAAACCGGGUCCACCAGCAUCAGAUGCAUCAGCCAAUCACAUCUCUCGUAGUAUAAUGCUUCUAUCAGUCACGUGACAAGCAAAUGGCCGUUCUCGGAGAAAAGUUAGAAAGUGAAAGAAAAAAAGCGAUUCAUGAUUGUCGAAUCAAUUCCGGGUUAUCAUACAUGUAUGUUGUGCAAAAUAGUCCUUUUUAUUGAAUUCAAGCCUUGCCUUCCCGUGUUCAUUGCUGUAGAUUGAUUUUUACGGGAGAAACCAAGUAGUUUACAAUGUUGCGACUUGUCGAUGGACUAACCAAAACUGGACUAUAUUUCUUAGGUUGUGUGACGAUUGUGGGAACAUGCGUGAACAAAUGUUUUUCAGGACAUGAACAGACAGAUGUCAGUGGUUCGUACAGGAAAAAAAAUCGGAUAGACGAGUUGUGGAAUUUCAAAGCGAUCAAUUGAAAUCGGACCAUAAAGUGAUAACAAAAUGUUGUUUGCCUGUUUGGAUCACUCUCAAAUCUUAAAAAAAAAGUAAAUAUAAUUUGAGAGUAAGUUAACUCGUCUAAGUCAAGCGAUAGCGAAAUGAGAAUGCACAAGUGGAUAGCAGUUAGUUGGGAACAGGUUUUUGACCAAGACAGACGUGUAACAUUCUCUGGGUGGACGGACGGAACUGCCACGCCUGCAGGUAUGCAGUCGGAAAGCUGUUGGGGAAUGAAUGUGCAUUAAUACUAAGUAUUAUUAACACCUGACACCAGGGUUAUACGUAAACAGCAGAACAUCGUUUGCUAUGGUUGCCACGUUACGGUUACAUAAACUUUUUGGGGCUCAUGACGUCAGAGGACGUUUUCAACGUAGUUGGGCUUCCGGACGCUAACAGGGCGGGAUGUCAGUGGACCUCGUGUUUGUACCGGUAACGCAGGCUGGUGCUGAGGACGGAUACGCCUAGGUGGGCGUUGAUAUAUCCUAUCGUGGACGUCGAGAGGCGGGACGUGUAUUGGAAUUGGCAUCUGAAUGACGUCAGUGUUGACGUCUAAGUGACGCCUGUAUUUCCUGUGGUCGGCGUCUGUGUGACGUCGAUGCGUCUAUGUGGUGUCUGUGUGACGCCAUUGUCGACAUCCGGGUGACGUCUGUGUGACGUUUACGUUAGCGGGAGAUUGAGAUAGUGGAGUGGUAGACUGGUAACAGCGUAACAGUGUGGCAGUAGUGACA